CAGCCGCCACGGUAAUACGAAGGGUGCAAGCGUUACUCGGAAUUACUGGGCGUAAAGCGUGCGUAGGUGGUUGUUUAAGUCUGCUGUGAAAGCCCUGGGCUCAACCUGGGAAUUGCAGUGGAUACUGGGCGACUAGAGUAAGGUAGAGGAUAGUGGAAUUUCCGGUGUAGCAGUGAAAUGCGUAGAGAUCGGAAGGAACAUCUGUGGCGAAGGCGACUAUCUGGGCCAUUACUGACACUGAGGCACGAAAGCGUGGGGAGCAAACAGGAUUAGAUACCCCUGUAGUCCCUGUCUCUUAUAC
rnacentral:rRNA from 1 species